rnacentral:rRNA from 1 species
AUGGGUUUCGUUAAACUAAAUGUUGAUGCUUCUUUUGACCAUGGUCUGCUCAAGGGCACUGCAGGUGUUGUACUCAGAGAUGAUAAAGGAACGUUUAUUGUUGGCGGAAAUUGGAAGAUCGAUUGCUGUGCUGAUGUACUAACAGCAGAAGCGAUGGCUCUUAGGUUUGGUUUAAUUCUUGCACAAAAGGCGGGAUGCAAUUGUCUUAUUAUUAACUCUGAUAAUAUGGAAGUCAUUGGCACAAUGAAGAAUGGAGGACAAUCGGCGGGAGUUGCGGCGACAGUCUUCAAGGAUUGCUACUUCAUGGCAUGUGAUUUUCUGUUGACUAGAUUUGAACACUGUAAUAGGGUAGCUAAUAAGAUUGCUCAUGAACUUGCUAGGCUAGCAAAAGUUUCUGUAACUAGAGAUUGGUUUGAGGAGCCUAUGGAGAAUAUUGUACCUCUUCUUAUAGACGAUGUAACCUAUUUCCAACUAAUAAAGUGGAUGUUUUCUUAA